AAUGAACGCUGGCGGCGUGCCUAACACAUGCAAGUCGAGCGAGAAAGUCCCCUUCGGGGGGCGAGUAAAGCGGCGCACGGGUGAGUAACGCGUGGGUAACCUACCUUGGAGUGGGGGAUAACCAGCCGAAAGGCUGACUAAUCCCGCAUACGUCCAGCAGGCAUACGUCUGCUGGGGAAAGAUGGCCUCUGCUUGCAAGCUAUCGCUCCUAGAUGGGCCCGCGUUAGAUUAGCUUGUUGGUGAGGUAAUGGCUCACCAAGGCUGCGAUCUAUAGCUGGUUUGAGAGGACGACCAGCCACACUGGAACUGAGACACGGUCCAGACUCCUACGGGAGGCAGCAGUGAGGAAUAUUGCGCAAUGGGGGAAACCCUGACGCAGCGACGCCGUGUGAGCGAUGAAGGCCUUCGGGUCGUAAAGCUCUGUCAGAGGGAAGAAAGGGGAGUAUGGUUAAUACCCAUGUCCAUUGACGGUACCCUUUGAGGAAGCACCGGCUAACC
rnacentral:rRNA from 1 species